rnacentral:siRNA from 1 species
AGGGUGAGCGUUUGAUUGAGUUGA